rnacentral:lncRNA from 1 species
GCAAUUCUCCUGCCUCCGCCUCCUGAGUAGCUGGGAUUACAGUGUAGUGGUGGUGUGGCCAUACAGAAGAAAUUCUCUGUUCACAGGAGAUGCAUGUUAAGUAUUAAAGGGGUAAAGUAUUAUGACAUCCGUACCUUCUCUCAGGCGGUUUGGCAAAAGGGAGGUGGGUUGGUAGGGACACACACAAGCAUGCAUGCAUGUGUAUGUGUAGAGAGAGAUAAAGUGAGUGUACCUAGAGUUUAAUAGAGUUUAACAGAGAGUGAAUCUAGGUGAGGAGUAGACUAUUUUUUCAAUUUUUUGUGGGCUUGAAAUUUUAAAAAAUAAAUUAGAAAUAAAUCAAUUAUAGCUAAUAAAAAACUAAUUAAAAACCCAAAACAUCCGCUACUCUAUUGAAUUUCUUAUUUGAACAGAGUUUGAAAGUCUGAAUCUCAUACAGAUAAACAUCUUGCAUUGUAUACAAACCACUUGCAAAUGUGUGUGUGUGUGUGUGUGUGUGUGUGUGUGUGU